CACGAAACCAGGUGAGCUACCGAGGGGCGUACCUUAGUACAAAAUAUGUAGCAUAAUAAUAGUAGACCUCUCAGUAGGAGUGAAAGGCUCUCAAGUCUGGUGAUAUCUUGUUAACCUUGAAAACUAUUGAGUAUAAUGUCAAUCUACUAGUGAUAAGGCUAGUAAAAACUACAUAACUUGAUAAUAUAUAUUAACAUAGCUUAAUCACUUGUUUUUAUAGACUCUUAGUAUUAAUAUUUUUCGGAUAGUAGCUACUAGAGGUGAUUAUUAAAUGUUCGUGUGUAUUAAUAUUGUGGGCAUUAGUAGUCGAGACCUUGCUGAUGAACUCGGCAAUAUUUCUUUCACCUGUUUAUCAAAAACAUCGCCAGUAGAUGGUACUAUUGGUCCCUUCUGCUCCAUGGAUUAUAAAUAGCCGCAGUACCCUGACUGUGCAAAGGUAGCAUAAUCACUUGGCUUAUGAUUGAAGUCUGGUAUGAAUGAAUGUAUGGGGGAAAACUCUAUUGGCAGGGUCGUUGAACUUACUGAGUGGGUGAAAAUUCCCACAGCAAAAUAAUAGACGAGAAGACCCUUGAAAUUUUUAUGAUAAGUCAUCCGAAGUUUUUGUUGGGGCAACAUAGUAGCAAUUAACCUACGGUAACAACACGACAUAAUAUAGUUAGAAUAAAUUACUCUAGGGAUAACAGCGUAAUUCUGUGAGAGCUUGCGACCUCGAUGUUGGACUAGGAAGCACGUGCUUAGAA
rnacentral:rRNA from 1 species